GGAGCGUGUAAGUGUGUGCGUGUGUGUGUAUGUGUGCAGUGAAGUGCAAAAGAAACACGAUAAAAAAAAAAAACAACACGCCAAGCAGUUGCGCCCGUUUUAGCUGAUAAAGCGUAUAGAAAAAAAGUACAACAACAACAACAACACACAAAGCAGUAGGCACGAAACGAGUGAAAAUAGAAAAUUAAUAAUUAGCUAGAAGAAGCAGCAGCAGCAUUCACACAGGCGAUUUGUAAGUGAUCAGUGCUAAAAAAAAAAAAAGAAAAAAAACGUAAAUGAAAAAUUAAAAUAACAAAUCGUGCAACUUUUCCCAUAAAUAGUGCAAAUCAAAAUUCUCGGUGCAGCGGCCAAAUUUGUAUCGAUCGCACACAGCAACAAAAACACAUACAAAUACAACUACAGCUACAACUACAAAUACAAUAACAAAAGCAACAACAAUAACAAAUCGCACAUCAGAUUUUCAAACUGCAACUGUUGGCGCCUCAAGCGCCGUUAUUUAAUACCGCAAAUCCGUCAAAAUGUCAACAAUGGAGGUGCGCAACAACUCGGCCAUGAUGAAGCGUGCCGAGCAGCUGAAGCGCUGGGAGGAGUCGGACACAAAUCGCGCCGCCCCCACGCCUCGUCGCGAGGACUGUCGCAGCAUCAAGUUUAGCUCCGGCUGCGUUUUUCUCGCCGCCUGCCUCUCCGGCGACAAGGAGGAGGUCGUCCAGCUGCUCAAUCAGGGCGCCGACAUUAACACGGCCAAUGUUGAUGGCCUCACCGCUUUGCAUCAGGCCUGCAUCGAUGACAAACUCGACAUGGUUGAGUUUUUAAUAGAGCACGGCGCCGAUAUCAAUCGGCAAGACAACGAGGGCUGGACGCCGCUGCAUGCAACCGCCUCCUGCGGCUUUGUCAGCAUAGCAUGCUAUCUGGUGGAGCACAACGCCGAUGUGGCUGCCGUGAACAGCGAUGGCGAUCUGGCGCUGGACUUGGCUAUCGAUGUGCAGCACAUGCCCAUGAUUAACUAUAUGGAAAAGGUGGUGCAGGAGCUGAAUAUUGAUGUGGAUCAGGCACGUAGGGCCGAGGAGCAGGCCAUGCUGAAAGAUGCCAAGCGCAGCGAUGCGGCCGAAGUGGAUCAGCCGCAUCCAAAAACUGGUGCAACGGCGUUGCAUGUGGCCGCCGCCAAGGGCUAUACGAAAGUGCUACGUCUAUUGCUGGCCCGUGACUGCAAUGUUGAUAGGCAGGAUAACGAUGGCUGGACACCAUUGCAUGCUGCCGCACACUGGGGCCAAAAGGAGACAGCUGAAAUGCUGGUGGAGGCCCUGGCCGAUAUGGAUAUACCCAAUUAUGCUGGCCAAUCCUGCAUCGAUGUGGCCGAUCGCAAAAUGGUCAAAUUCCUUGAAGAGCUGCGCGCCAAUAAGCGCAACAAACGGCGUCCAUCUAGUCAAAUCAGAAUCUCAGAUGCGAUUGAAAAUCAUGUGGACAAAACACGAAUGAAACUCGUACGCGUCGAAGUGAGAACUGAUGCCGCUAAGGAUGCUGAAAAUGUUAAACCCAAUCAGCAUAUACAUGCUGGCGAGCAUUCUGCCGAGGAGGAGGCGCCCUGGCGACGCAAAACUCUGCGCACGCCCAACGACAGUCCCACUAAGAAUCAAGUUCCUGACAAAGAGCUGAGCGGCAAAAGCGCUAAUGAGAGCGCAAACGAUGUCAUCUUGCGGCGCACGCAAAGCUUUGAGAAUGAUCAAAAGAAACCAAUCGCUCCAGCUACGAUGCUGACAGCAGCGACAACAACGACUACAACAACAACAACGACGCUCAGCUCACCAUCAACAACUGUGCUCACCCCACCUAUACGCAGAUCCUUUGUGCCGCCAGUGCGCGACGAGGAGAGCGAAACGCAGCGCAAGGCGCACGCGAAACGAGUCCGUGAGACGCGUCGCUCCACGCAGGGCGUUACGCUCGAGGAGAUCAAGAGUGCCGAGGAGCUGGUCAAGAAGAAGAACUUGGGCAUGAACAACAACAACAACAAUAACAACAACAACAGCAGCAGCGUAAGUACAACUUCAAGCACAACAACUGCAACUGCAACAGCAAUCAGCAGCAGCAGCGACGACAGCAACAUUGAGAGCAGCAGCAGCCUGCAACAACAGGAAGCGCAGCCACCGCCACCGCCAACAAGUCCGCCACCAGCCAUAAUACCGAAAACAACGACGACAGCGGAUGAUUUGGAGAUAGUUGAGGCUGUGGUUGCCACACUGGCGCCAGCGGCGGUUGUGGACAAUGCGGAUACCACCGCUAGCUUCACGCUGGCAGCACCAGCCACACGCAUAUCACACGGUGGCAAUGGCGACCAUGCAGAAUUUGUUGAUGUUCCCGACAGCGAUGCUGAGGAUGAGCAGCAGACGGCGGUCAGCGCCAGCUACACGAUAGUCUCGAGGCGAGAGAAGCCCGUCGAGUCGGCGGUGGAGUCGAGCAGCCACAAACAACUAAAGACUGAUCCAGUUGCCAAGCAAGCGCACAUGUUGGACACCGAAACUGGCGGUGAGUCCAAGGCAAUGCAAGCCAGACCCACAGAACUGGCGCUGGCAGCAACAGCGCCAGCCGAAAGCAAACCAGCAUCGACGACGACACCUGCCACAACGCCCAGCGUGCUGGAGAGUCCGGUACGACUGCGGGACAAGCGCAGCCUGAGCAGCAAUGCUACUGGGGGAGGUGUAGGAGGAGGAGGAUCUUCUCAAGAAACGGAUACCAAGUCGGACACGGCCUCGCCAGUUGGCGCACAUGCGGAUUUCAAUGCGCGCGACUCUUUGCUUAGCUUGUAUGCACGUCGUACGCUGGAGAGCGGUGGUGCGGGUGGUGCAGCGGUUGCUGCUGCUGUUGCUAGCGCUGGAGGCGCAACUGUUGCGCCAUCGACGUCGUCGUCUUCAAGCACAUCCACAUCAGCAGCCGAGCGGCGUCCGUCUUGGCGUCUCAAGUUUGAUGCGGGCUCAAAGUUCAAGCUGGAGGACAUCACCAGCGGUGGCACCUACCCGCCCAAUCAGAGCACAAUCAUACCCAGCGCACCGGCCGUGAUGGCCGCGGUUAAUUUGGCCAGCACAACGGGCAACCCGCGUCGCAUAAGCAGUGGACCCAAUGCGCUUAACGCUUCCAAUCAAUCGCUCAACUCGGUGGGUCGUCCGGUCUCAGCACCCAGCGAGAGCAGCAAUAACAGCGCAUAUGUGACGCCGCCGGCGCGUAGAUACGAGACAUCCACGCUGGGGACAGCUGCCUCGACAACAGCCACAACAACUGCCACGACAGCCACCAACUCCGCGUCUGCAUCCAGUGCCAACCAUGGAACGGCGACUAGCUCCACGCCCGGCCAUGAUGAUAAGGAUAACGACAAGGAGAACGAUAAUCGUACACAGACUGUUAUUCAGCGACGUCGCAAGCCCAAGCGCAGAUCCACGGGCGUGGUGCAUAUCGAUAUGGAUGAAAUUGAUCCGGAACGCCAACACGAAACGGCCAACAAUGACAAUGAGGAUAAGGAUAAGGAGAGCGGCAGUGAACGCACCUCACGCUCUCGCACCGCGAGCACAGCGACAACGAGCACCGGCAGCGAUUCAAAGAGUUCCAGCAACAACGACAAAGCGGAAAACGGCGAUGGCAUCGACUACAAGGCGCUCUGGGAAGCGGCCAAACUGGAGAACGAUAAGCUCAAGCAAAUGCUCAAGCAGAAGGACGACGAAGCUGUACAGACGCGUGCGACGCUCGAGCGCUUCGCCAAUGCCACCACUAAAAAUUCACUCUCUGAGAUUGAGAAACGUGAAAGAAGAGCUAUGGAACGCAAGCUUUCCGAAUUGGAAGAAGAGCUCAAGCUAUUGCAGAAGCUAAAGACUGAGAACGACCGCCUGCGUGCCGAGAAUCGAGCCCUCACGCGUGUCGUCUCUAAGUUGACCACCUCGGCCCAGAGUCAGCUGGCCAAAAGCAAAUAGGCAACAAUUUACAACAAACAAAAGAAAUAAACAAAAAAAUAAAAAAUAGAAUAUCCUAAAAUAUUGAAAAAACAGCAUAAUCGAAUAUCGUAAUCGUAAUCGUAAUCGCAAACGCAAACCGCUAUCGUAAUCGUAAUCGUAAUCGUUAUCGUUUCUUUAAAUACUCGAGCUGCACACAUAUAUUUACAUACGUACACGCAUACCUAGUUAAAUUCUUAGAUAUCGUACACCCAUCGUCUAGCCUAGAGAUAUUCAGAAACCAUUUUGAUGAACAACUUUAAAGAUUCUUCCACCAUCGAUAUUGUUUAUUAUCAUUAUCAUUAUUAUUAUUAUGAGACAAACAACAACAAGAACAAUUUGCAUUGUUAUAUUGAGCGCAACGUGUAACAAUAAUUAAAUGUACUGUAGUUAAAUUAAGUUUAUAACUUUUGGGGGCAACGAGCACUUAGCAGGCAAAUUUCUAUUUUUGCACCGCUGUACUUUUAGCCCAGAGCAAAAUAAUAUAUGACACAUACACACAUAUUGUAUUGGAGUUAUAUGAAAUAAUACAGAAUAUAACGUUACAAGAUAUAGCACAACAUAUGGCAACUAUAUAUACACACACAUAAGUAUCGUAUACAUACGUUUAAUCAAAAUCAAAAGCUACAUCAAAAAUCGUAAAUCGUAACUCAACGCAACCCAAGGAUUUGCCCAAAUGCUCAACUAUGCUGCCCACGCACUACUUCUACAACAACAACAACAACAAUUGCAGCAAUUCGGUCGUGGCACGAGCACCAAGAUCAUCAUCAGCACAGAUCUAUUAACUUAUUUCUUAUAUGCAGUGAGCUUUACGCAACUUGAUGCCUACAAGUCGGACAAUGACCGCCUGAAGGAGGAGAACGCCGCGUUGAUUAGAGUAAUUAGUAAAUUAAGUAAAUGAAA
rnacentral:misc_RNA from 1 species